GUCUGCAAGGAGAAACCAUGCAAUUGAGGAAGCCAAGAAACCAUGUGAUAAUUUCAAGCAGCUUACCUACUCUUGAAACCCGGAUAGCAAAGCAUUGAGUUUGUUCUGGAAGCAUUUGUAGUCACAGCUCAUUAAGCAUCCCCCUGAAGCAGGACCCUCAGUCUAGGGACGCCAAUUGACGAAAUAAAACUUGUCAUUCAGCAACACAGCCAGUUGCAGCAAUUGUUACCAAAUUGACCCCAGUUACAACUAGGAGCUCAGAGACAAUCAGCAACACAGCCAGUUGCAGCAGUUGUUACCGUAUUGACCCCAGUCAAAACUAGCAGCUCAGAGAUAAAUACUGUUUAAGAUAGAUAUUCUCUACAUUCCUCAUGAUAUGUUAAGCACAAACUCUGACAGAUCUCAUCUUUGAACUUUGUAACGGGCGAAAAAUAAAUGACCUUGUUCAGAAUGAAAUGGCAGAAUGACAAAGCACAACAAUUUAAGGGGAAACCAUAAAUUAAUGUGACCAGCAAAGAUGUGUUCAAAGCAAAACAAUAUGUCAUGUCUUUGGGGACUUUGAAUUUUGAUGGUGUUAUUCAUUAAACAUUGAAUAUUUUUGUUAAAUAUAGUUAAAUAUAAUGAUAUAAAGGAUAUUUGAUUAAGGCGUGUAUGUUAAUUAUUACUUUAAGCACAAAUAUAGCACGUCUAUCAAUUACUUAUGAAACUUGCACCUGAUAAUGAUAAAUGCAUGAAAAUUAAAUUGUACUUCAGACAUUAUUUCAUACGUUGAGCUUAAGAAAAUUGAAAGCUGUUUAAAUUAUGCUGGUAACAUUAUAUACAAAAUAUGUAUUGGAUUAUAUUCAUGUAAAAAACAAGUUUCAGUUUUCUGUUGUAACAUGCAAUAUAGAAGUAUUAUCAAGAAUCGUGUUAAGUAUGGCACUAUUCGAAAUGAAUAUUCAUUAAAUAAAGACAAAAUCAUUUAAUCUUCUUUCAAUUGUCAAUUCUGUAUGUACUACUACUACCUUAUUUAUUUGACUUGAUAUGGUUUGUUAAAUUAUAAGAUAAUGCCUCUUUAUUUGGAAAGCUUUCAAUGUUUUGAAACUGAGUAUUUAAAUAUGAAUUAUUAAAAGAAUUAUGAAAAAUCAUGACUGAUGUCAAAGUUAUGUUUGAUUUUGCCAAUUUUGUGUUGAUAUUUAAUAUACAUGUACUUACAUGCUCAUAAGUGUUGACAUUUGUUUUUGAACAUAAUAGUUUUUUAUGUUUUAUAUCGUGUAUAUACACAUUUACAAGUCCAAAUUUUCAUCCUCUCAAUCACUCAGUAACUUUACCAACAAUAAAUGUUGGAUCUCUGUAUAUAGGUAAAUUGUGCAAUUGAUAUAUAGAGCAACUGCAACAAAUCAGUCAGUUACAAAUCAAGGCAGAGUGAUGUAAUAUGCUGGCAAUUGUUAAGUAGUGCAGUUGUCUCUUUUUGUUCUCAGGUUAGAGCAAUGUUGUUUGCUUCAAAAAUAAAAACACAGUCUCCCUUGUAAGAAAAUUAAUGUGUUCACAUCUCAACAUAACAAGUAAAUUCAUAGAGAAAAUCAAAUUAUUUACAUGAUUUACUCGACAACUAGUCUAAUGGAAUUUGUAGAAUAAAAAAUAACAUGUAAUUAUGACGAUUAUAAGUGAAUGUUUGACACAAAAUGUCUCUUCAGAAAUGUGUAUAUUUUAAUGAUAAAUUUAUACAUUGUACUUGCUGUACUUUUUAUAGUAUAUUUUAUGAACGUGCAGCUGAUAAGUGAAUGUGACAAUUUACGAGUUAUGUUACAAUUUGUUACACGUUGACAUGGCCACAUAAGCUGUUAAUGGAGUGCAUUCACUGCGGCCAGUUUUCAGAAAUCUCCCAAUUAAAAAACACCAGAAAAUAUCUUAAGAUCAGAUAGUUUGGUUGUUGACAUGAGUAUAAAUUUGUUUAUUGAUUGUGUUAUGCCUUGUACUCUUAAUUUGUUAUCAAAUAUUUAAGUUUAUAUGACUUGAAGAGACUUACAUUUUUAUUGUAUUGAUGUGUUUGUGCUGAUUUCUUGCAUUCUGAUUAAAGAAUAUUCAAGUGGAAAAAGAAUAUUAUUAUGCAUUGAAAGUGUGUUGUGAUUUCAAAUAAAAAUACUAUGAAAAUAUAGUUCAGUCGUUUGAUUACAAAGUUAUUACAAAGGUGAUCAAUUGCUCAUCAAGUGUAGGUGUUUGCAUACGGACAUAAUAUGUCUGUGCUUUAUAUGUAUAUAAUGUAGAUCCCCAUUUACCAGAACAUAUUUUGAUGUGCUUAAAUGUGCUAAUAGCCUGAUGAAAUUCGUGUUGACUAUGCGUUUUACAUUUUGCCAUUUUUAUUUAAAAAAUGAAAAACAAAUGAAUUGUCAGUGUAAAUAAAUACUGUAUUGUUGUUCAAUCAGUUAAACUAUUUCACUGUUUUCAUGCAUAUGUUCAAAUCAUUUUCAUUUUUGUUCAAUCUUUAAGACGCAACGCUUGUGUAAUUUACUUUAUGAAACUUAUAUAUACGCAAAAAUGUAGUACAGAUGUAUAUCAAAUGACUGAUGUGGGCUUGUGGUAAACAGAAAACCAUGCUUUAAAUUGAAAAACCUUGUUAUAUGCCAUGUUUUUCAUUUAAUAAUAUUAAAAGCACUAUUGAAAUUGAACUUCUUGAAAAUAUGUUUCAUUGUUUUGUAAAAAUAUCUUAAGUUAUCUAUUCUAAAUUAUCUAUUCUUAUAUAAGAAAUACAAAUUAAAAUUGGUUAUUGGAAAUAAGUCAAUUAAAAGUCAAGGGAUAAUGAUGUAAUGUACUUAAAAAUGUCAAAACUGCUAUUGUCUCUAUUUGUAUUCUAGAUAUGUUAUAUCCUUAAACAAACAAAUACAAUGUUGUCUCCUUGUUGAAUAGGUGUUGUGUACCUCUGAACAUGUCAAGUCAUUUACUUUAAGUAUUUUAAAUAAGUUCUCACUAUCUGCACCCGUAAGUCACUCAUGAAUUUUGUGUAAUAAACAUUGGAUAAAUAUAUUUUUAUAUAAUCAAUUAUAAGAUAAGGUAAAAAGUGUAUGUGCGUUAUAAGAAAUAAACAUUGGAUAAAUAUAUUUUUAUAUAAUCAAUUAUAAGAUAAGGUGAAAAGUGUAUGAGCGUUAUUAGUAAUAAACAUUGGAUAAAUAUAUUUUUAUAUAAUCGAUUACAAGAUAAGGUGAAUAGUGUAUGUGCGUUAUUAAAUUCAUCAGGUAUGACCAUACUGUGCUACAAGUUUUGUAAUUGUGACUAUUAAAAGUACAUGAUCUGCAAAAAAUGUCACUUAAACAAAUGUGUAUAUGUUUAUCAUUAUUAAAUUCUUUCCAACUA